UGGGGAAUAUUGGACAAUGGGCGAAAGCCUGAUCCAGCAAUGCCGCGUGAGUGAUGAAGGCCUUAGGGUUGUAAAGCUCUUUUACCCGGGAUGAUAAUGACAGUACCGGGAGAAUAAGCUCCGGCUAACUCCGUGCCAGCAGCCGCGGUAAUACGGAGGGAGCUAGCGUUGUUCGGAAUUACUGGGCGUAAAGCGCACGUAGGCGGAUCGUUAAGUCGAGGGUGAAAUCCUGGAGCUCAACUCCAGAACUGCCUUCGAUACUGGCGAUCUAGAGUCCGGAAGAGGUGAGUGGAACUCCUAGUGUAGAGGUGGAAUUCGUAGAUAUUAGGAAGAACACCAGUGGCGAAGGCGACUCGCUGGACUGAUACUGACGCUGAGGUGCGAAAGCGUGGGGAGCAAAC
rnacentral:rRNA from 1 species